UCUAGAAACCUAACAAUCUACGACUAGGAAGUCACGAGUCUCUUCUCCUCUACCACUUCGUCUUCUUGCCGUGAGUUCUGAUCCAUCCAUCAAUACUCCACAAUCAAUUUCUUCUUUAUGGUUUCGUUUCAUCUCCCUCUUUUCCUCCUUUAUAUACUGCUCUCUUUCCUGUGUACAAAUCAAAACCUUAAAACGCUCAAACAUCGAUCCAUCUUCAAAGGAAUAAUUAGGGUUUUCUUCUCAGCUUCAAACAAAUCUCAAAGUGACCUUUUAGAUUUCUGAUAUGCAGUUUAUCUCCUUCAACCUCUACAUCUCCCCAUCUUUAAUCACUCUCUUCCUUGAUCGAUUUAUCCCUACUUAUAUAUUAGAACUGUGUUGAUCGAUUAUAUAACUCUUGGUUUAAUUAUCAAAUCUGUUUAAAUCUGCAGAAUUCUGUGAUCCAAGGCUUCAUCCUUGCCGGUCUUGCGAAUCACUAUUGUCCAUCACUGCAGAAUUCCAUAAUGCAACAGGAAGUCAGAGAAAUCUGGAUUUCUCUCCGGUGCAACAAAUGUGUAAAUCUCCAUGUCACCGGUGUUAUCAGGUUUCGGGCUGAACUUGCUGUGGAUGAUGGAAAAUAUAGCGCUAUGUUUGUAGUCUUUGAAAGGAGAUGACAAAGCUGACCAAGCUGACCAAGCAAGAAGCUGCUGUCCUUACGCUUGAGGAGAUACCAAACGGUGGAUAUGAGGAGCUACCAAGCUGCCUUGGAGAGCUUGCUGGGAAGGAGUUUUUUUUCAAAUUCGUGUCACACAUUUUUCACCGUAUCUUCACUGUAUGAUCAACUAUCACUGAAGAUCUCAUCAUUGACAAUCAAGCUGUGAAGGCCACCAACAAAUUGCUUCCACUCAGUUAAGGGGAAGGUGGAUUGUUAAGAGCAUCAUCCAGCGAGGCUGUUGUUGCGGCCAAGCUAGGCAUGGGUGGUGACAUAGCAACCCCACCAGGGAUUGAGGAAGUGGAGAAAACCCGCAAGCGCCACCGUGAGUAAAAAGACCGUGUUAAUUCAAUCAGCUUGUCAACCCCACUUUCAUUCCGCUGUUUUAAAAUGACUCUCCUCUGUUUCGCUACCUUGAAUCUUUGUUUUUGUUUUGAAUUUUCUGCAACUAUUUAUCAUUUUUUUUUGUCUUGAAGCGUUAAUGAAGAGAUUAUAAUAUA